rnacentral:ncRNA from 1 species
AUAAACCACAAGGGGAGAUGGAAAAGGCCAUCUGAGAGUAAGGUCCAAUUAACCUUAGACCCUUUAACCUGAUCUGGGUAAUGCCAGCGUAGGGAUGUGGGGAGAAAUUUAG